UUUAAUUCUUUUCAAGAUAGCUCUUUGCCACCUAAAAUUAGUUUCCAUAUCAGAUCUUUGUGCCAAGAAACACUAAGAAGAAUCUGGGUGUAUCGGGUGUUUCUUGUUGUGUCCAACAUUGUUACCAACUUCAACCUACUGUAGCCACCUCAUCUGGAAUCCAAAUUUAAUUCUGUAAAUUAUGUUCUUUUCUUGCUUCUCUCAAAAUUCUGUAGGAUCUAAUCUUGCUCAAUUUGGAGUCCUGUAUCUUGCCUUUUAGGGGUCCUCACACCAAAAUAUCCAGAAUUUAGAUUGGUUGACUAGAUGGGAGAG
rnacentral:lncRNA from 1 species